GUGGCGGGCGGGGCGCGGUAGGCGGGUCCUAGAGGCCUCGGAGGAAGCCAGCCCAGCGCUGCGGCAUUGGCAAGAACGCGCGUCAGUACGAAGAGUGAGGAGAGCGCCAGGCGCGGGGGCUGUCAGGUCUGGAGCUGUCUGAGGUCGGCCAGGAAGCUCUCUCGUGCGGACUGGGCGGAGGAAGAGCUCCGGUCCAGCGCAGUCCCUGGUGAGGCCGGAGCAUCCGAUCUGUCUUCCCUCCCCAGGUCACUUCGCAAAAAUUGGGAACAGUGCGGCCAGAUUGGGGGUGGAGUCUGCAGGAUUCUGCAACUGCAGCCCGUGGGAUGGCGCCCUAACAGAGCCUCUGCUCCUUCCCUAGUGGGUGCAGACGUGGCAAAGCCCUUACUUGCCUCGUCCCCAGGGCCUAGCCCCACCUUGAUUACCUCAGUUUCCCCCAAAAGAAACAAAUGUGAGCCACUUCUCUGCACCUA